CUGGCAAUGAGACCUCUGCCUGACGGUAAGGAAAUCAUAUUGAGGAGAAACUCACAAGCGCAAGAGUUUCUGGGCCUUCAGACUUGCAGUUUCUCCCCCUACUUUGGCCAGGAGAAUGCAGGAAACAGGAUAGGGAGUUGCGUACCUGCAGCUGGGCUGCUGGCUUGCUCCUCCGCCCGACUGCCAGCAGGAAACCUCAGGAGCCCCGGCCUGGCGAGUCUCAGAAGCUAACCUCCUGGAAGCCUUCCCCAGGGUUUGGCAUUGGGAUUUUGCACUCAGGAGGGGUGAGCGUGUGGAGCUGUGCUACCUUGUUGAUUCUCGAGCAUGUCGUGGAGAAGGCAAAGUGAACAAGGUUGCUUCUAAGACUAAAAGUCCAUGAGCCUUUGAAACAGAUGUUCCCUGGUCAAACCGUAACUUGGGAAGUUACCACGCUGCUGAAAAGUUUAUCUUUCCGAGAGGAAUGAGGAUCCCAGGUGACUGAGACCACCUCUGUGUCCCGCUUCCCAUUCCCAGUUCAAAGUCCGACAGGUGUGUGUACUGAAGAUGAGUAACCUGCCGAAGGGCACCUGGCUGGGAAGUAGCAGGUCCAGAUUCUGACCCAGCUCUGCCUGCCACUUCCCAUCAUGCUCACGCCCUACAGCCAAAAGACUUAGGAAACACCUGUUGCUUUGAAUGGAUGUUAAAAAAAAAUUAAACAGAAAAAUCUAACACCAAGGUCACCAAAAAACUUGACACCCUCCUAUAGCAAUAAAGAUGCUUUGUAGUCAUUUUUUCUUCAACAAAUAUUUAUGGUGGGGCUACUAUGUACCCGAUAGUGCUGUAGAUCAUAGGCAUGUAGCUGAAGAGCUUACAUUCCAGCUGGACUCCGCCAAUGCCAGAAAAUGCAAGUCAAGUGGCUUAAACAACAAGACAAGACAAGGAACAGAUCAC